rnacentral:misc_RNA from 1 species
GCAAAAUCAUAAGCAUAGCCAUUCUUUAUUGUUCUAUUUCAAAAUCAAUAUUGAUCCUACAAAAAUCCCUUUCUGGUUUGUUCAAUGGUGGAGUUACUUUAGAGCUAUUCCAAACCUAUUAACCCCAGAAAUCUCAAAAAAUUUCAUCCUGUUCAAACAACAUUAUAAACCCUUAAAAAAAGAAAAACGAUUCUCACCCCUUUUCUUUUUCUGUACAAAAUUUUCCUACCUUAAGUCCUUAUUUGGUUUUUUGAA